UGUGGAGCUUAUAACUACACGCACUAUAACUAGCCAAACCCACCAACAGGUUACUACACCACAACUAAUAAUAGGCUAAAGUUUAAGUUGGGGCAACUUCGGAGAACAACCUAACCUCCGAGCAACAGGAUUCCAAUCCACUAAAAGGGCCACAACCCCAAUAGACCAAAAAUUGACCCAGUACCACUGAUAAACGAACCAAGUUACCCCA
rnacentral:rRNA from 1 species